GACGAACGCUGGCGGCGUGCUUAACACAUGCAAGUCGAACGGAAAGGCCCUGCUUUUGUGGGGUGCUCGAGUGGCGAACGGGUGAGUAACACGUGAGUAACCUGCCCUUGACUUUGGGAUAACUUCAGGAAACUGGGGCUAAUACCGGAUAGGAGCUCCUGCUGCAUGGUGGGGGUUGGAAAGUUUCGGCGGUUGGGGAUGGACUCGCGGCUUAUCAGCUUGUUGGUGGGGUAGUGGCUUACCAAGGCUUUGACGGGUAGCCGGCCUGAGAGGGUGACCGGCCACAUUGGGACUGAGAUACGGCGCAGACUCUUACGGGAGGCAGCAGUGGGGAAUAUUGCACAAUGGGCGGAAGCCUGAUGCAGCAACGCCGCGUGCGGGAUGACGGCCUUCGGGUUGUAAACCGCUUUCGCCUGUGACGAAGCGUGAGUGACGGUAAUGGGUAAAGAAGCACCGGCUAACUACGUG
rnacentral:rRNA from 1 species